UCCAUCAUACCAGUCAACAACACAUUUGAUAAAUGAACUGUGUCUCUUCAGUUCUACUUAGACAUAGUUCAUUUGUCAAAUGUGUUGUUGGCUGGCAUGAUGAAAUGU
rnacentral:pre_miRNA from 1 species